rnacentral:rRNA from 1 species
GAUGAACGCUGGCGGCGUGCUUAACACAUGCAAGUCGAACGAAGCACUUUAACCUGAUUCUUCGGAUGAAGGUUUUUGUGACUGAGUGGCGGACGGGUGAGUAACGCGUGGGUAACCUGCCUCAUACAGGGGGAUAACAGUUAGAAAUGACUGCUAAUACCGCAUAAGACCACGGAGCCGCAUGGCUCAGUGGGAAAAACUCCGGUGGUAUGAGAUGGACCCGCGUCUGAUUAGGUAGUUGGUGGGGUAACGGCCUACCAAGCCAACGAUCAGUAGCCGACCUGAGAGGGUGACCGGCCACAUUGGGACUGAGACACGGCCCAAACUCCUACGGGAGGCAGCAGUGGGGAAUAUUGCACAAUGGGGGAAACCCUGAUGCAGCGACGCCGCGUGAGCGAAGAAGUAUUUCGGUAUGUAAAGCUCUAUCAGCAGGGAAGAAAAUGACGGUACCUGACUAAGAAGCACCGGCUAAAUACGUGCCAGCAGCCGCGGUAAUACGUAUGGUGCAAGCGUUAUCCGGAUUUACUGGGUGUAAAGGGAGCGUAGACGGCUGUGUAAGUCUGAAGUGAAAGCCCGGGGCUCAACCCCGGGACUGCUUUGGAAACUAUGCAGCUAGAGCGUCGGAGAGGUAAGUGGAAUUCCCAGUGUAGCGGUGAAAUGCGUAGAUAUUGGGAGGAACACCAGUGGCGAAGGCGGCUUACUGGACGAUGACUGACGUUGAGGCUCGAAAGCGUGGGGAGCAAACAGGAUUAGAUACCCUGGUAGUCCACGCCGUAAACGAUGACUACUAGGUGUCGGGGAGCAAAGCUCUUCGGUGCCGCAGCAAACGCAAUAAGUAGUCCACCUGGGGAGUACGUUCGCAAGAAUGAAACUCAAAGGAAUUGGCGGGGACCCGCACAAGCGGUGGAGCAUGUGGUUUAAUUCGAAGCAACGCGAAGAACCUUACCUGCUCUUGACAUCCCGGUGACCGGCAUGUAAUGAUGCCUUUUCUUCGGAACACCGGUGACAGGUGGUGCAUGGUUGUCGUCAGCUCGUGUCGUGAGAUGUUGGGUUAAGUCCCGCAACGAGCGCAACCCUUAUCUUCAGUAGCCAGCAAUUUGGAUGGGCACUCUGGAGAGACUGCCAGGGAUAACCUGGAGGAAGGUGGGGAUGACGUCAAAUCAUCAUGCCCCUUAUGAGCAGGGCUACACACGUGCUACAAUGGCGUAAACAAAGGGAAGCGAGCCUGCGAGGGUAAGCAAAUCUCAAAAAUAACGUCUCAGUUCGGAUUGUAGUCUGCAACUCGACUACAUGAAGCUGGAAUCGCUAGUAAUCGCGAAUCAGCAUGUCGCGGUGAAUACGUUCCCGGGUCU